rnacentral:rRNA from 1 species
GACGAACGCUGGCGGCGUGCUUAACACAUGCAAGUCGAACGGAAAGGCCCUGCUUUUGUGGGUGCUCGAGUGGCGAACGGGUGAGUAACACGUGAGUAACCUGCCCUUGACUUUGGGAUAACUUCAGGAAACUGGGGCUAAUACCGGAUAGGAGCUCCUGCUGCAUGGUGGGGGUUGGAAAGUUUCGGCGGUUGGGGAUGGACUCGCGGCUUAUCAGCUUGUUGGUGGGGUAGUGGCUUACCAAGGCUUUGACGGGUAGCCGGCCUGAGAGGGUGACCGGCCACAUUGGGACUGAGAUACGGCCCAGUCUCCUACGGGAGGCAGCAGUGGGGAAUAUUGCACAAUGGGCGGAAGCCUGAUGCAGCAACGCCGCGUGCGGGAUGACGGCCUUCGGGUUGUAAACCGCUUUCGCCUGUGACGAAGCGUGAGUGACGGUAAUGGGUAAAGAAGCACCGGCUAACUACGUG